rnacentral:rRNA from 1 species
AGAGUUUGAUUCUGGCUCAGAGUGAACGCUGGCGGCGUGCUUAACACAUGCAAGUCGAACGAGAACGGAUUAUAGCUUGCUAUAAUUGUCAGCUAAGUGGCGCACGGGUGAGUAAUAUAUAGGUAACAUGCCUCUUACUAAGGGAUAACAGAUGGAAACGUCUGCUAAUACCUUAUAUGCCUUUAAUACUGAAGUAUGCAAGGGAAAGAUUUAUUGGUAAGAGAUUGGCCUGUACGGUAUCAGUUAGUUGGUGAGGUAAUGGCUCACCAAGACGAUGACACCUAACUGGUUUGAGAGGAUGAUCAGUCACACUGGAACUGAGACACGGUCCAGACUCCUACGGGAGGCAGCAGUGGGGAAUAUUGCACAAUGGACGAAAGUCUGAUGCAGCAACCCCCCGUGGAGGAUGACACAUUUUCGUUGCGUAAACUCCUUUUAUAGGUCAAGAAAAUGACCGUAGCCUAUGAAUAAGCGCCGGCUAACUCCUUGGCCAGCAGCCCCCGGUAAUACGGAGGGCGCAAGCGUUACUCGGAAUCACUGGGCGUAAAGAGCGUGUAGGCGGAUUAAUAAGUCAGAAGUGAAAUCCAAUAGCUUAACUAUUGAACUGCUUUUGAAACUGCUGAGCUAGAGUACGGUAGAGGGUAGUGGAAUUUCCGGUGUAGCGGUGAAAUGCGUAGAGAUCGGAAGGAACACCAGUGGCGAAGGCGACUACCUGGACCGAUACUGACACUGAGGUGCGAAGGCGUGGGUAGCAAACAGGAUUAGAUACCCUGGUAGUCCACGCCGUAAACGAUGUCAACUAGCCGUUGGGGGACUUGAUCCUUUAGUGGCGAAGCUAACGCGAUAAGUUGACCGCCUGGGGAGUACGGCCGCAAGGUUAAAACUCAAAUGAAUUGACGGGGGCCCGCACAAGCGGUGGAGCAUGUGGUUUAAUUCGAAGCAACGCGAAGAACCUUACCUACUCUUGACAUCCAGAGAACUUUCCAGAGAUGGAUUGGUGCCUUCGGGAACUCUGAGACAGGUGCUGCAUGGCUGUCGUCAGCUCGUGUUGUGAAAUGUUGGGUUAAGUCCCGUAACGAGCGCAACCCUUAUCCUUAUUUGCCAGCGAGUAAUGUCGGGAACUCUAAGGAGACUGCCGGUGACAAACCGGAGGAAGGUGGGGAUGACGUCAAGUCAUCAUGGCCCUUACGAGUAGGGCUACACACGUGCUACAAUGGCCGGUACAGAGGGCUGCAAACUCGCGAGAGUAAGCUAAUCUCACAAAACCGGUCGUAGUCCGGAUCGCAGUCUGCAACUCGACUGCGUGAAGUCGGAAUCGCUAGUAAUCGUGAAUCAGAAUGUCACGGUGAAUACGUUCCCGGGCCUUGUACUCACCCCCGUC